rnacentral:rRNA from 1 species
AGGUAAUGGCUCACCAAGGCUAUGACGGGUAUCCGGCCUGAGAGGGUGAUCGGACACACUGGAACUGAGACACGGUCCAGACUCCUACGGGAGGCAGCAGUAGGGAAUAUUGCUCAAUGGGGGAAACCCUGAAGCAGCAACGCCGCGAGGAGGAUGAAUGUUUUAGGAUUGUCAACUCCUUUUGUUAGAGAAGAUUAUGACGGUAUCUAACGAAUAAGCACCGGCUAACUCCGUGCCAGCAGCCGAGGUAAUACGGAGGGUGCAAGCGCUACUCCGAAUCACUGGGAGUAAAGAGUGCGUAGGCGGGGUAAUAAGUCAGAUGUGAAAUCCUGUAGCUUAACUACAGAACUGCAUUUGAAACUGUUACUCUGGAGUGUGGGAGAGGUAGGUGGAAUUCUUGGU